UACGUAGGUGGCAAGCGUUGUCCGGAAUUAUUGGGCGUAAAGAGCUCGUAGGCGGUCUGUCGCGUCGGCUGUGAAAACUCGGGGCUCAACUUCGAGCUUGCAGUCGAUACGGGCAGGCUAGAGUUCGGCAGGGGAGACUGGAAUUCCUGGUGUAGCGGUGAAAUGCGCAGAUAUCAGGAGGAACACCUGUGGCGAAAGCGGCGCACUGGACCACAACUGACGCUGAGGCGCGAAAGCUAGGGGGAGCAAACAGG
rnacentral:rRNA from 1 species